rnacentral:rRNA from 1 species
AUUGAACGCUGGCGGCAGGCCUAACACAUGCAAGUCGAGCGGAUGAAGGGAGCUUGCUCCUGGAUUCAGCGGCGGACGGGUGAGUAAUGCCUAGGAAUCUGCCUGGUAGUGGGGGAUAACGUCCGGAAACGGGCGCUAAUACCGCAUACGUCCUGAGGUAGAAAGUGGGGGAUCUUCGGACCUCACGCUAUCAGAUGAGCCUAGGUCGGAUUAGCUAGUUGGUGGGGUAAAGGCCUACCAAGGCGACGAUCCGUAACUGGUCUGAGAGGAUGAUCAGUCACACUGGAACUGAGACACGGUCCAGACUCCUACGGGAGGCAGCAGUGGGGAAUAUUGGACAAAGGGCGAAAGCCUGAUCCAGCCAUGCCGCGUGUGUGAAGAAGGUCUUCGGAUUGUAAAGCACUUUAAGUUGGGAGGAAGGGCAGUAAGUUAUUACCUUGCUGUUUUGACGUUACCAACAGAAUAAGCACCGGCUAACUUCGUG